rnacentral:lncRNA from 1 species
CUGGUUUUAGUUUUAAGUGUAUCUUACUUAAUAUUUUCAAUAUGAGUCAGCUCCAUGUACUGUGAUGAUUUUUCAAAUAACCAGAAGUUGACUGUAGCUGGCUUUAGACAGGAAGCGUGAGUACAGAAUCCAGCUGCUUCCACCCUGGGAGCAAGUCUGGGCCGGUAGUCCUGGAUUUUCUGGCCUGAGGCCUCAGCCUCCUGGAUUACACAAGCAGAACCCUCCUGGGUCCUGCUCUUCCUGACUCUCCUCUCCUGAUGGGAGCAAGGGGCUCCCCUGUCCUGGAUGCACUCCUUGAAGCAGCUGCUCUGCCUGAUCCACCUGCCUGGGAGUCCUGGACCACAAGUGAGGUGGCAUUUCUCUGAGCACUUAAGAAGAUGACUCACCCAGAGAGGCGGACUGGGCUGGUCUCCCGCCUUGGAAAACCCUGGUGUCUGCCCUGCUGAGGCUCCGAGUUGACACUUGCGUGGCUGCGACCCUCAGCCGCGGGACAAGCGAUGACGACGUUGGAAUUGCAGGAUCUUGCUUGCAAAAGUCAUGGCGCCAACUCAAGGGCUGCAAGCCCCAACAGCUUCAGAGCCAGGCUUCAAGAAUAAGCCAGACUUGAAUAUCAAAGUCCCAAGGAAUGAAAUGAAGACCCAGGGGUUGCUGGUUCAGAUCCUGGGUGCAGACCUAUGCACUGCUCAUCAAGCCAUGCUGUGGCGGCACCCCACGUAGAAGAACCAGAAUGGCUUACAACUAGGAUAUACAACUAUGUACUGGGGCUUUGGGGAGAAAAAAAAAAGAGGAAGAUUGGCAACAGAUGUUAGCUCAGGGUCAAUCUUCCUCACCAAAAAAAAAAAAAAAGUGCUAAGUAUUAAAAAAAAACUUGGUGGUGAAUGUUUACAUACAAGAACAGGGGGUAGCCUCUGCCUUCAUUUUCUCUGGAAUGCCACCGGGGGUGGGGUGCUUCCACAGCUCCUGCGUUUUUAACUCUGAGAGGCAAUGGAAGAGAACAGGAUCCACGUGGUGCUCAGCAACCUCACAAGAAGCCAAGAAGGGCGGCUGUGAUUGCACUUGGCCAACUGGUUUCUGGAGGGUGACACCCUCAAGGCCAUGGGUGAACACUGGUGCCCUCAAAAGCUUUUCUGACUUAGUGCCUGCUACUAUGCAGGCCAUCUCUGAUAGCCCUAAGGGAUGUAGAGAAAAUAAGGAAAUCCCGUGUUGGAGGAGGAUGGAAGACCCAAGCCAGAGGCCUCUGUGUGCAGGCGACCCCACCCUGGAGGGGUCCGGAGACCCGGUUUCCAUUUAUAGCCGGAUUCAUCUUAGGGAAAAAAUCCUACCAUAUCUCCCUUCUUUCAAUGGGAAAAUCAGGGCAUUUUUUAAUGAGGCAAUACCAAGUCAUCCGAGCUCCCAGUGAAAGUUGUGUAUCAGCCAAUUGGCCAAAUAAUCCUAUUUCUUGCAGUUUUGGGGGCUUUCUUUCCAGAAAAGUGGAAAGCCUGAUGGUGUUCUGGCAUUUAGAAAGAGCUCUCUUGUGCAAUUCACGGCAGUGUGUUUCCUGUAGGGGGAGAGUGGAGAGUAGGGAUGGGCAGUGGCCCCAUGAGCUUCCUGAAGACGUGGCUUCAGCCACAUCUUGUGUUGUCCUCAAGGGACGCGUCUCAGGCAAUAGGGGUCUGGCAGCCCCAGGAGAAGCGCGCACUGAUGCCAGGAGUCAGCAGGGGCCAUUACAGCCGGGGAUGUGGGCUGUUACUUCUGUCCUAUAUGUGGAAAGCCAGCCUUUACUUUAUUUAUGAAGAUUUUCAUGAAGUCAGCUCGUUAAUCCAUGGAGGAACUGAGAAAAUAGUAAUUAAAAAAAAACACCCGGAAUGAAUUAAAGAAAUUUGAACUGGUUGGGAAAUGCAGGCCCCCAGGGGCAGCCACGCCUUCCUGCCGGACGUGCCCUGCCGGAGAUGUCAGCGCUGGAGCUGUGGGUUCUCCCUCAGCAACACUGUUACAGGGAGCCUUCCAGAAUAUUCCAGGGCAAGGCCUUUGACACGAAGCUGGGCCUCCUCCCAACACAGCAAUUUGAGCCACAGCAUAGAAGGAGAGUGGAACCAGGUCCUCUCAGACAGUGUUGCAUUGAUAUUCCCAUGAAUGCUGGGCCUGAACUCCUGAUGGAGCUUCCAUCCAGAGCCUUUCUCGUUUGGGCCGGGAAGCGGGGAGAAGGGAGAGACCAUUCUUGAUAUAUUAAUAAAUAGAGAGGUUCACUAAGGCCUGUCAUACCACUCCCAUGAUUGUUAAUGUGGGGUGUCCUAGAGCAGAAUCUCUUUAAGCUGGCUCAUUUCUGCAUAUUCCAGCAGAAAGGAAUCAAUGAUGACAUUUUCAAUGUGGCUACAUGGAAAACAUUUUUUAAACAUCUGUGUGCUGUUUCCCCAAUGAAAAUAGCACUGUAAAAAUUUAGGUUUCAUUGAAUUAGGAAAAUAAAUAAGCUUCACUCCCAAAGGCAGUGCACAGCCUGCAGACAGUGCAUUCUAGCGUGUCAUAGGAUUCUUAUAAACACUGACGGCUCCCAUUUAAGAGUGUCUAAUACAUACCAGUCAGUCUCCUGAACAUGCACAGGUAUUAUAACCUCUGACCCUCAAAAUAGCCCCACGAGGAAGAUAGCGACAUCAUCCUCACUUUCUAGCAAAGAAACUGAGGCACAGAGAGGGCCAGGAGCCUGCCCAAGGUUGCAGAGCCCGGAUGUGCAUCCAGGCCACAUGGUGUCAGAGCCGACAUCCCUAACCACCAGGCCACGUGGAUUCCCACAAAGGACUUUUAAAGAAUCUUUGCACACACAUCCCCUUACUUCAUGAUGUGUUCUCCUAAAUUCUGCAGACGUGUGCGAGGGAGAGGUACUUUUAUUCAUUUGCGAAGAAAAUCAAAAUCCUAGCCUUGAAGUGAUGGGUCCCUUACAGUAAUAAUUCUAACUAACGGAAAGAGUCGAUUAGGAUUACCCAUUGGCACUUCCCAAAAAGGACCAUGAAGCUGCACACGCCACCGACGCCUCCACAGACAGCGCUUCUCCUACACAGGGACACGAGGGCGGCAGGGGCCGACCCUCACAGUCCUUCCCUCCCUUGAGCAAAUAGGUCUCUUCACCACCCUCCCACCCAGGAGAUCAUCCUUUCCCUGCAAUCUGGCCCCUCCCCCUCACCCCAUCCUCACUUCUUCUUUAGGAUUUCGUGCCCAAUCAAAUAUUGGCCCUUUCCCUCCAGCAUCUUUAACUUUUUCCUCUCCAUGGCCGAAACACAGGCCCCUGUCUCUUCCAUCUCUGAAAGACCUCACCUGCCUUUGACCCCAUGGAGUAGACCCCCAGGUGUCCCCGAAAUUCAUUCUAACCAUCCCCCAGUAGCGGCCUUGCCAUUUGGUUGGGACUGACUCCACCCCCACACCCAGGGGGAGUUUUGAUUGGGUUAAGCAAAACAAGAGAAAGCCACCCUUUGCCACUGUGACUGCUUCCAGGAUUGGGUCCCAGGCUUAUGUCAGUUAGGGAAUGGAUCUUCUAGCCACGAGGAUGAGCUCAGUGGUGCCCAAUUGGAGCAAAGCCCAGGAAUAUAGCCAUCGCUUCAGG